rnacentral:rRNA from 1 species
CACGUAGGAGGCAAACGUUAUCCGGAUUUACUGGGCGUAAAGCGCGUGUAGGUGGUUCUGUAAGUAGGGCGUGAAAGCUCCCAGCUCAACUGGGAGAGGCCGUUCUAAACUGCAGAGCUAGAGGAUGGUAGAGGGAGGUGGAAUUCCAGGUGUAGCGGUGGAAUGCGCAGAUAUCUGGAGGAACACCUGUGGCGAAGGCGGCCUCCUGGACCAUUCCUGACACUCAGACGCGAAAGCUAGGGUAGCAAACGGGAUUAGAUACCCGGGUAGU